rnacentral:rRNA from 1 species
AUGCAAAUGGUCUCCUCGGGCCGGACUGCGGUGAACAUUAAUGGCGAGAUUGGCCCUUACUUCCCCACAUUCUGUGGGGUCUGUCAGGGCGAUCCCUUCUCACCAUCCCUCUUCAACGUGGUUGUCGAUGCUCUGGCCGCCAUCCUAGAUAAAGCCAAAGCUGUGGGACAUAUUAGGGGCAUUGUCCCGCAUCUAGUAGGCGGGCAUGGGAUUUCCCUCCUCCAAUACGCAGAUGACACCAUUAUAAUGGUGGAAGGCUCAGCGAAAGACAUCAUGAACCUGAAGUUCCUCCUGCUCUGCUUUCAGCAGAUGUCUGGCCUCAGGAUCAACUUUGAUAAGAGUGCGGUCAUGGUCUUGGGAUACUCCCUAGACGAACGGCAGAGCAUCGCGGACCGCCUCAACUGCCAGCUUGGGUCCUUCCCCACGACGUAUUUGGGGAUCCCCUUAGUGAUACGAGGCUUACGGUGGCCGAGCUACGCCCCACGGUGGGGAAGCUUCAGUACCGCAUUGAACCUUGGCAGGGCCGCUGGCUAUCUAAGGCCGCUCGGACGGUGCUCAUUAACUCGUCCCUCUCCAGCCUACUCCUAUUCAUUAUGA